AGGACGUGCCUUUCAGGCAUCCUCUCCUAAAACUUUCCCGGCGGGUCCUUGUGGCCCGCCUUUUUUUUGCCCCUC
rnacentral:sRNA from 1 species